rnacentral:rRNA from 1 species
GUGAGGAAUAUUGCUCAAUGGGCGAAAGCCUGAAGCAGCAACGCCGCGUGCGCGAUGAAGGUCUUCGGAUCGUAAAGCGCUUUUGAGAGGGACGAGAUAGGACGGUACCUCUUGAAUAAGUCACGGCUAACUACGUGCCAGCAGCCGCGGUAAAACGUAGGUGGCAAGCGUUAUCCGGAUUCACUGGGCGUAAAGCGCGUGCAGGUGGCUUCGUAAGUUGGACGUUAAAUCUUUCGGCCUAACCGGGAGGUGUCGUUCAAUACUGCGGGGCUUGAGGGUAGAAGAGGGGGGUGGAAUUGCCGGUGUAGUGGUGAAAUGCGUAGAUAUCGGGAGGAACACCAGUGGCGAAGGCGGCAUCCUGGCCCUGUCCUGACGCUCAGGGGCGAAAGCGUGGGGAGCAAACC